UACGUAGGGUGCAAGCGUUAAUCGGAAUUACUGGGCGUAAAGCGUGCGCAGGCGGUUUUGUAAGUCUGUCGUGAAAUCCCCGGGCUCAACCUGGGAAUGGCGAUGGAGACUGCAAGGCUAGAGUUUGGCAGAGGGGGGGUAGAAUUCCACGUGUAGCAGUGAAAUGCGUAGAUAUGUGGAGGAACACCGAUGGCGAAGGCAGCCCCCCUGGGUCAAAAACUGACGCUCAUGCACGAAAGCGUGGGGGAGCAAACAGG
rnacentral:rRNA from 1 species